UUAAUGUUCUUGAACUUCACAAUUUUUUAUUAUUAGUUGACAAAAAUUACAUUGAAAAUAUAAAAUAUGUAUCUUUUUGAAACAAAAAAAUUAUCUGGAUCUUUUAAGAACAGAGGAAGUAUAAUCUAAUAAACUAAUUAUAAUUAAAAUAAACAAAAAAUAAAACAAAUAAAAAUCCCCUCCCCCCCCCCCCCUCCCCCCCUCACGCCAUCGUUGUGUCCGCCUCUCUCUCCCUAACUCUCUCGGUGGCGACAAAGACUCAAGCUCUCCCCCGACGAGUGCUCAUCUUCUCCGGCGUAAGUAGUGCCCUUCAACUCUUCUUCUUCGGUUUCCUCUCACGGUGUGUGCUCCGGCUUCAUCUUUGUGGAUAGCGGUUGAACAAGAAAAUGCAGCUUAUUACUCGCAGCAGUUUAAGGCAAUGGAAGCAGGUUUUGUUUCUAGGGAUGAGGAAUCAUCACUGGUCGCUGCAGAGAAUGGUGUGAUGUGAGCGGUAGAAGAGACACUCCGUCUUCUUCUUUGAGCAAUUCGAUCGAGUCUUUGAGGACCAUCUUGUCUGAUCCUAUAACGUAUGUUCUUUGAAGUGAAAAGUAAAUUUGUUUGUGACUGUAGUAAUCUUUAGACAAACAGCUAUUAGUGGUACAGAGUUUAAUCUAUUGCUAUCGAUAAUUCUUGUGUUUAAUCUAUUAAUUUUAUUCUGUCUAUUUGCAUAAUCUUAGAGGGGCUUUGAUGUCUGAUGCUAUGAUUUUGCCUUGCGGACACACUUUUGGAACUGGAGAAAUAGAACAAGUUAAACAAAUGAUCCAGAGUUUUAUGUCUUUCAUCACAGUCUCUUCUUUUACUCUUUGCUAUUCUAUUAUCUUUUCUUGUGCUUAUGGAAUCUGUUUUUUUCGCUGUGUUCGCUUAGAAAGCUUGCUGCACUUGUAGGAUGGGAAGCUGUUGGGACUACUCAAUGUUUGAACGGCUGGUGAAGUCUAUGAUUCCUGGAUUAUGACUUUAUGGUAUGUUUUGGUGAAAACACUAGACAAUGCAGAGAGCGUUAAGCUUCGGUAUCGUUCACUGGCCAAAGCCACAGAAGAUCCAUCAGCCAAGGCAACACCAAGCAAGAUGAUCUCCAGCUGGCUCUAAGCAGACCUUCCUUGUGAAGAGACUACUUUCUGAUAGUACGUUCUCUAUGUAAGGAACAGAAACCUAUCUACAGAUCAUAGAUCACAGUUACAUAUUGUAAAUUAUUGUAGUAGUUGCUCCAUGGCAUAUCUUUGAAGAAAUUAGGUUUUGGGCAAAAGCCAGGCUACUAAUAGCUUGAACAAUCCGAAUCAUAUGAUGAAAUACAUAGUUACUCUGCUCUCAGUUUUGUUUUACUAUCCAAACAGAACAAAAUUGCUGAAAAUAAUGAAAACAUAUUCAGAUCA